UGGCUACUGCCUUUUGGUGGAUGCUUGUAUUUGUUUUCUCUUUGUCAUGGUCAGCAGUGUUGUCACUGGUCAUGCUAACAUCUUGGUAGGGGAAUUGUGAAGAGUGGAACCACCUCCAACUGCUACUCUCCCCAGCUGAGGGAGCUUCUGACUGGGCUACAGAGCUGGAUCUGUGAUGUAAACCAUCUCAUCCUUCACUCCCCUGUUUCAAGCUACUGUGCAGGACAGAGAAGGCCGUUUCAUGAAUCAAUAUUCGCUAGUUGAAGCCAUGACAGACAAGUAAG
rnacentral:lncRNA from 1 species